GGUCCCGUGGUGUAGGGGAUAGCCCAGGACUCGGAAUCCUGCGACAGGAGUUCAAAUCUCCCCAGGACCU
rfam:Ascaris lumbricoides genome assembly, scaffold: ALTE_scaffold0000353